rnacentral:lncRNA from 1 species
AUGUUCGGGUCCUCAGACUCCGCCCUUGUGUCAGCUUUCAAUCUUUGUUUCUGUGUAAUUGGAAUAAAGACGCAACGCCUCCGCUUCAGGACCAUAAAGCUCGGCUUCAGGUGGACUCGUCAUGAGCAGCGGGUUCAGACCUGCGUCCGUGAAGAGAUGGAGGCGCAGGUCCGAGCUCUGCUCCUGCUUCUAGUUUUAACCCCAUCUACUGCUGAGGAGAAGAACCUGACAGGAACUGUGGGAGGAAGCAUCACUCUGCCUGAACCUGUGCUGGAGCUGGGGUUCAUUAUAUAUGGAACAAAGACUGUAGCCAUUGUGGUUGAUGGGAAAAUGAAGAUAGUAGAGAAAAUGUAUCAGAACAAGCUUCUGUGGAGCGACAGAACUGGAUGCUUCACAAUAACAGACCUGCAGAAAAACGACUCAGGGAUUUAUGCUGUUGACCGUAAAGAAAGUGGUGUCAGCACAGCUUAUAAACUCAGCGUGUUUGACUCCGUCUCGGCUCCGACAGUGAACAGACUUGGCUCCGACAGCUGCGUCCUGCUGUGUGAGGUGGUCAACGCUGAGGAGACCACUCUGCUGUGGUACAAAGAUGACGAGGUGGUGAAGCAGAACAGCUCGGCUCCGUCUCUGUCGCUCACUGUACACGAGCAGGACUACAGAUCCUCCUACAGAUGUGUGGCUGCCAACCCCGCUGAACACAAGGCUGAACCAGUCAACCUGGAAGAGACCUGUGGACCCACCUACACAGGAAGGAACCAGGAGAAGCCGGAGGAUCGGAGUCGAGUCAUUGGCAUUGUUGUCUCCAUUGUGUCUGUGGUCGUCAUUGCGAUUGUUGGUAUCAUGAUUAAGAAGCGUUACCACAACCAGAAACCCACAGCAGCACAAGGUCCAGACAACGUGGAAACAGAGGUCCAGUACACUGAUGUACAUUUCUAUGACGACACACGCGGUCAGGUUAGUCCUCACAUCCACACACUAAUGUUUGACAGGACUGAUGAUUGUAUUGCUAAGCAACGUGUUAUCAGUGUGGUUUGGUCCGUGGUUCUGUCUCCUGUCGUGUCUGGACUCUGA